rnacentral:tRNA from 1 species
GCCAAGGUCGCAUAACCUGGUAUUGCGCUAGCCUUGAGAGCUAGUGUCCUUCGGGAUGUGCAGGUUCAAAUCCUGCCCUUGGCG